GCAAAGUCGAGCGCCCCGCAAAGGGGGAGCGGGCAGACGGGGUGAGUAAACGCGUGGGGAAAAUCUACCCCAUUUGCUACGGAACAAUCGUUGGAAACUGGUGCUAAUACCGUAUGUGCCUAACGGGGAAAGAUUUAUCGGCAAAUGAUGAGCCGCGUUGGAUUAGCUAGUUGGUGGGGUAAAGGCCUACCAAGGCGACGAUCCAUAGCUGGUCUGAGAGGAUGAUCAGCCACACUGGGACUGAGACACGGCCCAGACUCCUACGGGAGGCAGCAGUGGGGAAUAUUGGACAAUGGGCGCAAGCCUGAUCCAGCCAUGCCGCGUGAGUGAUGAAGGCCCUAGGGUUGUAAAGCUCUUUCACCGGUGAAGAUAAUGACGGUAACCGGAGAAGAAGCCCCGGCUAACUUCGUGC
rnacentral:rRNA from 1 species